GCUGGCGUAGCUCAGCUGGUAGAGCAGCUGAUUCGUAAUCAGCAGGUCGUAAGUUCAAAUCUUAUCGCCAGCU
rnacentral:tRNA from 1 species